GUCUUAAAGCUGCCAAGUUUGAAGACCUCUGCUCUAUGCAUAUCCAACGGGUGUUUUCAGCUGAGCAAAGGCUUCCUUUUUUGCCAGUGUCUAUCUUUGCUACCUCUCUUCUUUGCACCUACCACUGGAGAUAAUAUUGGAUCUUGGAUUUGUUUCCUAGGAUACAGCUGGUCAAGAAUUCUCUCCAUCCAUUCCAAACAUCCAAACGAAGAGUUGUGCCUGUUAAUAGUAAACAUUGUCAUUUAUUUCUGUUUCUAUCUUUGUUGGCUAGAAGGUACCACUCAUUCUCUUCUGAAGUACUAUAUUUUAAUAUCUGUAGUAACAGAGAAGCUGAAAAUCACAUGAACAAUAGCAGGAAAAGUGAAGUUUACAUUUAGAAAAGGAGCUAUUUACAUAGUAUUAUGGAUACAAUGUAAAAUUGAAUCAACAUUAGUUCAGAAGAAUAGCUAAAUUAUCUAAUCAUAAACGUACUUCAAAAUGUUAAAUUUCAUUUCCUUAUUACCAGUUGCUUGUGUUCUAACAUUUUUAAAUUGUCAACUAUGUACCGGUGUUAGGAUUUAAAGACUAAAGAGAUAGUAAAAUUGUA